AGCAAAGGGACAAAGCCAAAAAUAUCAGACAGUGACAUUUUCUUUAGACUAUCAGGAACUGAUACUUGCACAUGUCAUGUGACUUGUGUGCAUUGUUUCCUCAUAGUCACAAUAUACAUCUUUGAGUCUUUUUCCCAAGGACACCAAUGCUGCUACUAUUAGGGUAUUCAGUGUAGGAUAGAUGUUGCUUUCUCACAAUGUUAAUUGACAUGAUGAAACCUGUGAAAAACAGAGUGACUUCAAAUGGAUGGAUGUUGAAAAUGCUGAUGUGAUAGUUUCAAAUCUGCACUCGUCAGCUACAAAAACUCAAAGAGACUCAGUCUAGUGACAGAAUGAAUUAACUACCUCAUAUUGACAAAUCCAUUGUUUUAUUUCAGCAAAAAUAUUAUUUAAUAAGUGUUCAUUUAAUUACUGAAAUUUUGCCAUAUAGGAAUCACUAUCGAACACUGAAAAACUCACAUGGUCAACCACUAAUUUGGCAAACACAAAUUUACUAUCUAGAGUUUUGAUAGAUGUGGUUUUUCACUGCGGUUGCAGAUUUGUAAAUAUAGAUACGAUCAAUACGAUUCAAUUUAUUGAAAGGAAAGGGGAUAUAUAUAAAUUCACAAACACAACUCUCCUUUAACCUACGCAGUGAAGAGGUGAACCAAACGCACAGUGGAAACUGACAUGAGCCGAUAUGAAUGGCCAAAAUUAGCCAAUGGCAAUGGAGAGUGGCAAAGAUAAUCUCCUGACCAAUAGAUAUGAUAUAGAUAUCUUGAGAUGCAUACAGAUGCAUAUCUUUGCAUGCAUACAGAAUCUCCAGCAGUUUGCUGUCUGAGUGCAGAAGGUGUCCAUAUAUGAACGUACAUGUGAUAAACACUGACAGAGGGGAUGGAGGUGGAGCAGAAGAGGACAAAAGCAGAAGUGAAAUCAGAGGGAUAUGACUAGCUAAAUAAUAAUAUACAAAUUAGUGAGGGAGAAACAAUAAUGACCGGAAAACACAGAUCGGGAAACCAGACAAACUGUUUAGAGGAAAAGCAAGGGACUUUUGCAAAUCAUCAGGAACUUUUUGACUGCUUUAAUAGUCAAGCUUGAAUUUGUUUGUGGGUUUUCAAAACUUGCCACACAUAAAAUAUACCAAGAGGAGAUUUAUAUUUAAUGAUAUGUAGAAUCUUGCUACAUUGAUAUCCACAAGAAUUUUACAGAGAAUAUUAAUGAGGUCACAUCUAUGGAAGCUUGUUUCCGCCACUGAAUAAAAAAACAAAAAAAAGUAAUUGUGACAUUUUCUUUCACAAUUUUGGCUUUUCUUGUGAGUUUAAAUCACAGAAUUGCCUGAUAAAAACUUGCAAUUGCGAGUUAUACAGUCAGAAUUGCGAGACAUAACUUGCAAAUGCGUGUUAUAAAGUCAGAACUGCGAGUUAUAAAGUCAGAAAUUUGUGAUAUAAACUCAAUUGCGAGUUAUAAAGUCAGAAUUGCAUGAUAUAAAAUCGCAAUUGUGAGUUAUAAAGUCAGAAUUGCGAGGUAUAAAGUCAGAAUUGCGAGAUAUAACUUGCAAAUGCGUGUUAUAGUCAGAAUUGCGAGAUAUAAACUCACAAUUGCGAGUUAUUAACUCACAAUUGCGAGUUAUAAAGUCAGAAUUGUGAGAUAUAGUCGUAAUUGCAAGUUAUAAAGUCAGAAUUUUGUGAUAUAAACUCAAUUGCGAGUUAUAAAGUCAGAAUUGCGUGAUAUAAAAUCCCAGUUGCGAGUUAUAAAGUCAGAAUUGCGAGAUAUAAAGUCGUAAUUACCAGUUAUAAAGUCAGAAUUUUGUGAUAUAAACUCAAUUGCGAGUUAUAAAGUCAGAAUUGCGUGAUAUAACUUGCAAAUGCGUGUUAUAAAGUCAGAAUUGCGAGAUAUAAGGUCAGAAUUGCGAGAUAUAAAGUCGUAAUUGCGAGUUAUAAAGUCAGAAUUUUGUGAUAUAAACUCAAUUGCAAGUUAUACAGUCAGAAUUGCGAGACAUAACUUGCAAAUGCGUGUUAUAAAGUCAGAACUGCGAGUUAUAAAGUCAGAAAUUUGUGAUAUAAACUCAAUUGUGAGUUAUAAAGUCAGAAUUGCGUGAUAUAAAAUCGCAAUUGUGAGUUAUAAAGUCAGAAUUGCGAGGUAUAAAGUCAGAAUUGCGAGAUAUAACUUGCAAAUGUGUGUUAUAGUCAGAAUUGCGAGAUAUAAACUCACAAUUGCGAGUUAUUAACUCACAAUUGCGAGUUAUAAAGUCAGAACUGUGAGAUAUAAAGUCAUAAUUGCAAGUUAUAAAGUCAGAAUUUUGUGAUAUAAACUCAAUUGCGAGUUAUAAAGUCAGAAUUGCGUGAUAUAAAAUCCCAGUUGCGAGUUAUAAAGUCAGAAUUGCGAGAUAUAAAGUCAUAAUUGCAAGUUAUAAAGUCAGAAUUUUGUGAUAUAAACUCAAUUGCGAGUUAUAAAGUCAGAAUUGCGUGAUAUAACUUGCAAAUGCGUGUUAUAAAGUCAGAAUUGCGAGAUAUAAAGUCGUAAUUGCGAGUUAUAAAGUCAGAAUUGCGAGAUAUAAAGUCGUAAUUGCGAGUUAUAAAGUCAGAAUUUUGUGAUAUAAACUCAAUUGCAAGUUAUAAAGUCAGAAUUGCGUGUUAUAAAAUCGCAAUUGUGAGUUGUAAAGUCAGAAUUGCGAGAUAUAAAGUCAUAAUUGCAAGUUAUAAAGUCAGAAUUUUGUGAUAUAAACUCAAUUGCAAGUUAUACAGUCAGAAUUGCGAGACAUAACUUGCAAAUGCGUGUUAUAAAGUCAGAACUGCGAGUUAUAAAGUCAGAAAUUUGUGAUAUAAACUCAAUUGCGAGUUAUAAGUCAGAAUUGCGUGAUAUAAAAUCGCAAUUGUGAGUUAUAAAGUCAGAAUUGCGAGAUAUAACUUGCAAAUGUGUGUUAUAGUCAGAAUUGCGAGAUAUAAACUCACAAUUGCGAGUUAUUAACUCACAAUUGCGAGUUAUAAAGUCAGAACUGUGAGAUAUAAAGUCAUAAUUGCAAGUUAUAAAGUCAGAAUUUUGUGAUAUAAACUCAAUUGCGAGUUAUAAAGUCAGAAUUGCGUGAUAUAAAAUCCCAGUUGCGAGUUAUAAAGUCAGAAUUGCGAAAUAUAUAGUCAUAAUUGCAAGUUAUAAAGUCAGAAUUUUGUGAUAUAAACUCAAUUGCGAGUUAUAAAGUCAGAAUUGCGUGAUAUAACUUGCAAAUGCGUGUUAUAAAGUCAGAAUUGCGAGAUAUAAAGUCGUAAUUGCGAGUUAUAAAGUCAGAAUUGCGAGAUAUAAAGUCGUAAUUGCGAGUUAUAAAGUCAGAAUUUUGUGAUAUAAACUCAAUUGCAAGUUAUAAAGUCAGAAUUGCGUGUUAUAAAAUCGCAAUUGUGAGUUGUAAAGUCAGAAUUGCGAGGUAUAAAGUCGCAAUUGCGAGUUAUAAAGUCAGAAUUGCGUGAUAUAAAAUCCCAGUUGCGAGUUAUAAAGUCAGAAUUGCGAGAUAUAAAGUCAUAAUUGCAAGUUAUAAAGUCAGAAUUUUGUGAUAUAAACUCAAUUGCGAGUUAUAAAGUCAGAAUUGCGUGAUAUAACUUGCAAAUGCGUGUUAUAAAGUCAGAAUUGCGAGAUAUAAAGUCGUAAUUGCGAGUUAUAAAGUCAGAAUUGCGAGAUAUAAAGUCGUAAUUGCGAGUUAUAAAGUCAGAAUUUUGUGAUAUAAACUCAAUUGCAAGUUAUAAAGUCAGAAUUGCGUGUUAUAAAAUCGCAAUUGUGAGUUGUAAAGUCAGAAUUGCGAGAUAUAAAGUCAUAAUUGCAAGUUAUAAAGUCAGAAUUUUGUGAUAUAAACUCAAUUGCGAGUUAUAAAGUCAGAAUUGCGUGAUAUAACUUGCAAAUGCGUGUUAUAAAGUCAGAAUUGCAAAAUAUAAAGUCGUAAUUGCGAGUUAUAAAGUCAGAAUUGCGAGAUAUAAAGUCGUAAUUGCGAGUUAUAAAGUCAGAAUUUUGUGAUAUAAACUCAAUUGCAAGUUAUAAAGUCAGAAUUGCGUGUUAUAAAAUCGCAAUUGUGAGUUGUAAAGUCAGAAUUGCGAGUUAUAAAGUCAGAAUUUUGUGAUAUAAACUCAAUUGCGAGUUAUAAAGUCAGAAUUGCGAUAUAACUUGCAAAUGCGUGUUAUAAAGUCAGAAUUGUGAGAUAUAAAGUCGUAAUUGCAAGUUAUAAAGUCAGAAUUUUGUGAUAUAAACUCAAUUGCGAGUUAUAAAGUCAGGAUUGCGUGAUAUAAAAUCCCAGUUGCGAGUUAUAAAGUCAGAAUUGCGAGAUAUAAAGUCGUAAUUACCAGUUAUAAAGUCAGAAUUUUGUGAUAUAAACUCAAUUGUGAGUUAUAAAGUCAGAAUUGCGUGAUAUAACUUGCAAAUGCGUGUUAUAAAGUCAGAAUUGCGAGGUAUAAAGUCAGAAUUGUGAGAUAUAAAGUCGUAAUUGGCAGUUAUAAAGUCAGAAUUUUGUGAUAUAAACUCAAUUGCGAGUUAUAAAGUCAGAAUUGCGUGAUAUAAAAAUCUUAAUUGUGAAUUGUAAAGUCAGAAUUGCGAGGUAUAAAGUCGCAAUUGCGAGUUAUAAAGUCAGAAUUGCGUGAUAUAACUUGCAAAUGCGUGUUAUAAAGUCAGAAUUGCGAGAUAUAAAGUCAGAAUUGCGUGAUAUAACUUGCAAAUGCGUGUUAUAAAGUCAGAAUUGCGAGAUAUAAAGUCAUAAUUGUGAGUUAUAAAGUCAGAAUUUUGUGAUAUAAACUCAAUUACGAGUUAUAAAGUCAGAAUUGCGUGAUAUAAAAUCGCAAUUGUGAAUUGUAAAGUCAGAAUUGCGAGGUAUAAAGUCGCAAUUGCGAGUUAUAAAGUCAGAAUUGCGUGAUAUAACUUGCAAAUGCGUGUUAUAAAGUCAGAAUUGCGAGAUAUAAAGUCAGAAUUGCGAGAUAUUAAGUCAGAAUUUUUUUAUAUAAACUCAAUUGUGAGUUAUAAAGUCGCAAUUGCGAGUUAUAGUCAGAAUUGCGAGUUAUAAAGUCAGAAUUGAAAAAUAAACUCGCAAUUGAGUAAUAAAUUCAGAAUUACGAGAUAUAAAAUCACAAUUCUGAUAAAAAAAAAAAUUUUCCUCAGAAUUGGACUUUAGAACUUGCAACUGCGAGUUUACAUCUCACCUUUUUAUAUCUCAUUUAUAUCUCAAUCUUACUAGGCAUACUAGAAACUUCCAGGCAAGUUGGAGCUAACCUCUGCAGGCCAGUGGCCCUCCAAUCAAGUUUAACAUGAAAUCAGUACAAAACACAUUUCACAUUCAAAGAUCCAGGUAUUUCCCAGUGUGAACACAUCUGGUCUGUUCAUCUAAAAAAGGAAGUUGCAUAAGGAUUCUGCUUUCUGCCACAGACCGAAAUGCACAGAAUGAUCUAAGAGUUGUUGCAAUCGAUUCACACUCAAUUCAUGUGGUGCAUUCAUAAAUGACUCAUUUAUAACUGAAAAAAGACAGACAGAACAAAAACCUGGCUCAAGAAACUAUCAAAGAUGAAAAGGCAACCAUUAACGUCAACUUUCAAAUAAAAAAAAAAAAAAUCAAGCUUUUCAGCAGGAAACGCACAUUCUAAGAUAAUCCCGCAGAUUAGACGUUACGAAAAACGACUGCAUCAUCUCUAAAACCACUGACGUCCUCUCAGACAAAUGACAAACACUUAAGAUGUUGAGAGGAAAUUGCUGAGGUGUGUUACUGGGAAACGACCCACAUUUACAGGCCAGCAGACUUCCUUCAUGCAACAGUGAGCUUCACUGAAGAACAGACCCGGAGUGCUUAUCUUUACAAUAUCAGUGUCCUUGUAAGUCAGCUAAACAAGUAAAAGGCGGUCUCUUAGCUGAUUACAGUGGCAAAACAUUUAAACAUUGCAUGCAAAAUGCACACACGUAUUUUGUUAAAAAGACUAAAAUGCUGUAUGUAACCUACCAAAAUCAGUGCGUAAUCUUUAAUAAAAAUGAAUCACUAUAUCUGUUUACUAUUUAAGCAUGCUUUUUAAUCUGGCCUCCAGCACAUUUUCCCAUGGCCUACAGAUCCUGCAAGUGGAAUUACAACACGUACAGCAAGUGGAACCUGCAGUGUAACUUUUUAAAAGGUUGCCUUAUUGAAACUAUAGAAAACAAGGCUGGUUGACAACACUUCAUUAGCAUGCUCACUUGACAGUCCUUUGUUACAUGGUAAAGUACGCGGAUGUGUUCUAGUUAAGAUGUGAUAUACGUGAACUCCCCACCCUCUCAAUCUAGACCACAAGAGCUACUUGACAUUACACUGAAUGACUGUAUUUUACAAUCUAAUGACCUGCCAAUCUAGACACAGCACUUGCAGUAGUGGUUAUCGUCCUAUGAUGCCCAAACUGCACACUUGGUUUUGAGAUACUUAUAAUAGAUAAAACUGCUGUGUAGGCCAGCACACUUUUAUUUAGCCUAGGACACCAUAUAUGCAGCUCAUUAGGUUUUUCUAAUUUAUUAUGUUCAAAAAUACUGUCUAGAUGGGUAGCUGUAGGCCAAUGACGGCCAAAAUGUUUUAAGAUACCUAUGAUGCUCAAGAAUGUAGUUUGGGUAUCUAGUUUUGCCCAUGUUAUGCAGUUCACUAGUUUGCACAGUUUGUUUUGGCAAAGGCUUUUGGCAAACGUAGGCAGUACAUUAUGUUUUAUUAUGCUCAUAUAUGCCGUCUAGGUAGGCAAGUCACUAGGUAUUUCCAGUGUUGGGCACGUUACUUUAAAAAAGUAAUUGAGUUAGUAAUUAACUAAGUUAGUAACUGAGUUACAUCAUUAUAAAAGUAACUAAUUACCAGGGAAAUUAACUAUUGCGUAACUUCUUUUUUUUUCAAAUAUGUCAAAUAACUUGGAUGCCCCCAAUAUUAAAUAUAAGUCUUAAAAUAAAUUACUCUUGAUCCGACUCGUGACUCACGACAUGAAAUUUCUCUGUACUGUACUACGUGUUGGUAGCCAUAAAUAUGAAACUACGUUUUCUUUAAUGUGUAAAUAGUUUUAUGUUCAGUUUUAAAUUCAUCUAUUUGAUUAUGAAAAGUGAACAGCACGAGUAAGACAGAAUACAUCAUAAGAUGCGCAAUAUAUCGGGAGACAUGCAGUGGGUCAGACAUGAUUUUGACCACUUCAUUAAGUUUUGUUUUGUAGAAAGCCUUUCUUUAAAGUGAAUUUCGUUUUUGUAAAAAUUGUAUCUUAAUUUUAAUCAAUGGUUCACCAACCAAUUACCUGGAUUUAAUAAAUAAGAAGCAAAUAUAGCAGACAAUAUAAUCAUGACAUGGAGGCGCCGGCGCGAUCACUUGCACGUGAACUGGAGCGCGUCUUAUAGGCUAAAUGAACCGAAACUCACCGUAUAGGCUGCUUGCCUCACAGACAUGAGAAAUAUAUCUAUAGAAAGCUUGAAAUGUCUACUUUUAAAAAGAAAUAAUUCAAAACUAAAAGAAAUAGGCUACUCUCUGAUUAUGUAAUCCGAAUGAAUUGUGCAUUCUAUUUCUAAGUGCGUCCACAUGCGGAGAUGAUGAGAGUCAGUUAUGUCAACUUCAUCUUUGCAGCCGACAUUGAUUCAGAAAACAUUAGUUUAUUAAUAAACAAUUAAAUGUGUUUUUGCCACAUUCAUAAUCAUUACUUUUGCCGGUUCUUUAUGGCAAGCUUUGUGCGCUUGAGUGCUAUAUAGCCUAUAUUACGUAAACGCUCAUUAUUAUGGUUUAUUCUCUCCAGUAUUUAAGAAAUUAAAUUAAUACAAAUGUGAUUAGUCAACUAAUGGCUUAAAUGAACAACUAGGCUACUAGUCGACUAGAAAAAAAACUUUUCACAUAUUUUCGAUCCAGCAUGUCAGAAAGGGUAUUCUGGUUUGAGCUCGCGCUCCACUCGCAUGAUCUGACACAGACACACACACACAUUAUUAUCAGUUUAAAAUUAUAUUUGUAUAUAACGCUGUUACUAACGCUGUUUAUUUAUAACGACGUUAUUCCCAUCACUGGGUAUUUCCCAUGUCCAUCAUUCCCAAAAAUACCGUCUAGGUUAGCAGCUUGGUGAGUUUUGCAUAUGUCCACAAUAACAAAAAAUUCAGUCUAUAGAGUUGUGCUUAUACCCAAGAUACUUAACAUUUUGUCUAAAUAGGCAGCACACUAUGUUUUAAGAUACCUAUAAUGCUAAAAAUGCAGUUUGGCUAGGCAGUUCACUAGUUUUGCCAGUGUUGUGUGCUUAAAUGUACACACUUGUUCUGAGAUACUUAUGAUGUCCAGGUCACUUUGAUUUGCCAAAGACACCCAAAAAUGCUGUAUAUAUAGGCAGUAUAUUAUGCUUUAUGUUGCCCAAAUAUGCUAUCUGGUAGGCAGGUCACUAGGUUUUUUCCCCAAAAAUACCAUCUAGGUUAGCAGCUUGCUGAGUUUUGCAUAUGCCCAUGAUGACCAAAAAUUCAGUCUAUAGAGUUGUGCUUAUACCCAUGAUGCCUAAAAUUUUGUCUAAAUAGGCAGCAUACUAUGUUUUAAGAUACCUACGAUGCUAUAUAAAAAAAUAAAUUAAAAAAAAGCAGUUUGGCUAGACAGUUCACUACAAUGUAAAAAAUUAUUUUCAUGAUUUGUUAUCAUAACAUUUUUUCUUUUGUCAAAUCAACUUAAUUAAUGUGGUUCAGAUAACAUAAUAUUUUGGGUUUCUGUUGUUUGAAUCAAUCGCCUUCAUUGUAUUAACUCAAAUUUUUAAUUUCAGUGAACUCAAUUUUUUCAAAAGGCAAACAAGUAACUUACUUUUUUUAAGUUAAACCAACAAUUCUUUUUUUACAGUGUAGUUUUGCCCAUGUUUUGUGCGUAGGCACACUUGUUGUGAGAUACUUAUGACGUCUAGGACAGGUUACUUUGUUUUGCCAAAGACACCCAAAAAUGCUGUAUAUGUAGGCAGUAUAUGAUGCCCAAAAGUGCAAUCUAGGUAGGCAGGUCACUAGUCUUUCUCAUGUCCAUCUUUCACAAAAAUACCAUCUAGGUAAGCAGCUUGCUGGGCUUUAGUGAUGACCAAAAAUACAUUCUAAGUAGAGUGGUGCCCAAGAUUCCCAAAAUACAUGCUUAAAUAGGCAGCACACUAGGUUUAGGAUGCCUAUGAUGCCCAAAUUAAAAAAAAAAUCAAGGCAUGUAGCUCAUUAGGUCACUAUGACACCCACAAUGUUGUCUACGUAGGCAGCACACUAUGUCCAAACAUGCAGCCUAGGUAGACAAUCUAUGUUGCCUAUGCACGUGAUGCCCAAAACAGUAGGCAGCUCACUAUUUGAGACAUAACCAAGCACGCAACCUCGGCUGGAAAUUCCAACAGCAAAAGAGCAAAACAUAACUGAAAAUAAAUAUAUCUUUCAUUUACGAUACACAUUUAGAACCCGAGAAUAACAUUUCUUUUUCGUUUAGUGUUUUUCAAAAGUAUAUUUUCACGUCUAUCAAAUACACUUGUGAAAGUCUUAAGUAUAAGAAUGAAUCAUUACAUUGUGUUUGUCAGCAACACAUAUAAACCUGCU